rnacentral:rRNA from 1 species
GACGAACGCUGGCGGCGUGCUUAACACAUGCAAGUCGAACGGAAAGGCCCUGCUUUUGUGGGGUGCUCGAGUGGCGAACGGGUGAGUAACACGUGAGUAACCUGCCCUUGACUUUGGGAUAACUUCAGGAAACUGGGGCUAAUACCGGAUAGGAGCUCCUGCUGCAUGGUGGGGGUUGGAAAGUUUCGGCGGUUGGGGAUGGACUCGCGGCUUAUCAGCUUGUUGGUGGGGUAGUGGCUUACCAAGGCUUUGACGGGUAGCCGGCCUGAGAGGGUGACCGGCCAACUUGGGACUGAGCUACGGCCCAGACUCCUACGGGAGGCAGCAGUGGGGAAUCUUGCACAAUGCACGGAAGCCUGAUGCAGCAACGCCGCGUGCGGGAUGACGGCCUUCGGGUUGUAAACCGCUUUCGCCUGUGACGAAGCGUGAGUGACGGUAAUGGGUAAAGAAGCACCGGCUAACUACGUG